GACCGCGUAGCUCAGUUUGCAGAGCAUUGGGCUAGUACAGUAUUUCAAAGGUCGUAGGUUCGAUUCCUCCCGUGGCCA